rnacentral:rRNA from 1 species
AGAGAGAGACAUGCGCGCAUAUCAAUAGCGGAGGAAAAGAAACUAACUAGGAUUCCCUCAGUAACGGCGAGUGAAGCGGGAAGAGCUCAAAUUUGAAAUCUUCAAGGUUCUACCUUGACGAAUUGUAGUUUAAAGAAGUGUUUUCUGUUGGAGUUUUGGUAAAAGUUCUUUGGAAUAGGACAUCAUAGAGGGUGAGAAUCCCGUAUUUGACCAUUAUUUCCAGCUUUGUGAUACACUUUCAAAGAGUCGGAUUGUUUGGGAAUGCAGUCCAAAAUGGGUUGUAAAUUUCAUCUAAAGCUAAAUAUUGGCGAGAGACCGAUAGCGAACAAGUACCGUGAGGGAAAGAUGCAAAGAACUUUGAAAAGAGAGUUAAACAGUACGUGAAAUUGUCAAAAGGGAAGCGUUUGACACCAGUGUUGUUUUCUCGAAAAUCAAUUAAAAAAGGCAGGAUUUUGUGUUGUAUUGACUUUAUCAGCUUUCUGCACUCUUUUCUUGUCUUUUUUUAAUGCACUUUUCGUUUAACAAGUCAACAUCAAUUUCUUUUGUUGUAAAAAGGUCAUUGGAAGGUGGCUUUCUUUUCGGAGAAAGUGUUUAUAGCCUUUGGCCUCUGCAAUCGGAGAGAUUGAGGUCUUCAGCGUAGAUCCUUCGGGGUUAGAUACAUUUGUGCUAAGUUAUAGCCUUUCAUAGACAACUUGUUGACUAUGAUCAGUCAUGUAGCUUACUCGCUUAUGUUAUUUUACCUACGCUUAGGAUGUUGAUGUGAUACUGCGAGCA